UCAUGGCUAAAUUUGAGAGGGGUGUGCCUAACCGUCAUCUGAGCGAGUUGUUGAAUUAGCACCAGGUGUCGCAAAUCAGUAAUAAGGUCAAUCAAUCUAGGCCAUCGAUUCAUCUACAAAAGGCUUUUGCCCCCUAGUCACUGUUCAUUUCUGCUGUUAUUGUGCGGAGGUGCUGCCAGAUUAUUUUCAAAGGCUUUUCUGUGUUGAACGGCUAUUGGAAACAGC
rnacentral:lncRNA from 1 species